GAUGCGACCUCAGCUCAGGCGGGGCUACCCGCUGAGUUUAAGCAUAUCAAUAAGCGAGG
rnacentral:rRNA from 1 species